UACGAAGGGGGCUAGCGUUGCUCGGAAUGACUGGGCGUAAAGGGCGCGUAGGCGGUUUGUACAGUCAGGUGUGAAAUUCCCGGGCUCAACCUGGGGGCUGCACUUGAUACGUAUGGACUGGAGUGGGGAAGAGGGUCGUGGAAUUCCCAGUGUAGAGGUGAAAUUCGUAGAUAUUGGGAAGAACACCAGUGGCGAAGGCGGCUACCUGGACAGGUACUGACGCUGAAGCGCGAAAGCUAGGGGAGCAAACAGG
rnacentral:rRNA from 1 species